GAGUUAUUAGCUCAAUUGGUAGAGCAAUUCGCUUACAACGAGAAGGUUAGUGGUUCGAUUCCGCUAUGACUCA
rnacentral:tRNA from 1 species